rnacentral:lncRNA from 1 species
UGCUGAGUCUGUGUCAAUUCCCUGAUGUCCGUUGAACUGUUCCCUGUUUUGCGUCUUGAUUUUGCCCAGGAGUGCAAAAGACUUAUUUUGAUGUAUCGAUAUUUUAUUGAUUUCACUUAGUUUAUUGUGCUAAAAUUAAUCGGGGAAUUGUGCUUAAUUGUCCGGUAUUUUAAAGCAAGCAACAGUCGUCACUUACAUUGCAUUCUGCUGGGAGAAUUCUCUGCUGGAACGUUGUUUGGAGAAAUGGAGAUGGUGCUUUAAAAGUUGGGCCGACACACAUUUGCUAGGAGGAGAACGCUUUCAUUGAUGGGAAAUGAGAAGACGGUGCAAAGACGGACCAUCCAGCCGCCACUUUUUUUUCGCUCUUGAAUUUCUUUGAUGGAUAAAGAACGGAUGAAUGGCCAUAGGAUUUUCCAAGGUGCUGCAACCGUCAUUUAACUUCACUUGGUUUUGGAACAUAUUUUUUUUACAGAGUUUUAUAUCUUCUUUGAACCAUGGAUUUCGGAUGAAUGAAAAUGCA